CUCUUUUUCUGUCUCGUGCCCCUCAGUUGACUUCUUUCUUCUGAGGAGGCAAGAAUUGAGGUUGCGGCAGACCUGUACGGAUUCGCCGCGGGGAACUUGGAUACCUUCCACUGGUCACACUGUCUGGCACACGGCGCAUGAUGAAGAUGGAGCAGUGAUUCUUCUUACUGAGCUCACCGGCCUCACCCAAGCUCGCAGCAUUGUGCCGGGAAAGGAUGUUCUCGGCUCCGGCCUUUUUCCUCCUCUCCUGGGGACAGAACAUGGAUCCUGGAAGGCAUUGAGGACCCUGUGCUCAGCCCCUGCCCAUCCCUUCCACCACUUAUCUGUCCUGUAGGCACACUGACGCGGCUUUCACAAAAUGGGAGGCUCUGAGAGGUAAGUGAAGUGCCCACCCUGCACAGCUGACGGGAGGUGCCGCGGGGCUCCCACCCAGCCUGGUCUCCAGGGCCCCGGCCGCGCUCAUCACCCCUGCCUCUGUUCCCGUCCUUCACAACGUAGGGCCUGGCCAGCUAGGCACAUAGGCCUAGGACUGUGACCCCUCUAGGGGCCCCAAAAGUGUUUUAUUUGUUUAUUUUUUUUCCCUAGAAGGAGUGUCACUCUGUCUCUCAGGCUGGAGUGCAGUGGUAUGAUCUCGGCUCACUGAAACCUCCGCCUCCCGGGUUCAAGCAAUUCUCCUGCCUCAACCUCCCAAGUAGCUGGCUCUACAGGCCCUCUCCACCAUGCCUGGCUAAUUUUUGUAUUUUUAGUAAAGACCAGGUUUCACCAUGUUGGCCAGGCUGAUCUCAAACUCCUGACCUCGUGAUCGGCCUGCCUUGGCCUCCCAAAGUGCUGGGAUUACGGGUGUGAGCCACCGUGUCCGGCCUAAGUGUUUUAAUUUUAAUAUAUUUUAAAAUCAAAGGAAAAAAGAAUAUGGUAAUGAAUAUGUGUAACUGAAUCCAGCUUAGUUAUAUUUGUAUUUACACCAAUACAGUCAUAAAAUGUGAUAUUUGCUACUUAAAGUGCCUGGAGCCCAUGAAGGUGAUAAUGGGACCGUGGUCCCAGUGCCCAAGCCCCUCUGAGCCCCUCUCCACUGCCACCACUCCUCCAGCCCACCCUCCCUUAGCCUCAGAAUGGGGCUUGUUAGACCUUGGGGUUGCCUGGGCUGUGGGUGCAGCCCUUGGGGCAGCUCACACCUGAGCAGGAAGCAGUUUGGGUUUUGUGAUGGGGUCAGCCCUGCCGGGAGCAGCUAGGAUAAGUGGAGAGAGAUUUGUGGCAGGAGUCCCAGCUUUGGCUUCUUAUAUGUCCCUCCUCCUUGGGCUUAGGGAUGUUCUGGGGUGUUUAAAGUAUGAAUGGGUUGUCCCCACCAAGAAUCAACUUGCAUAAAAGAUGGAGGACUCUUCUGGGAAAUAACUGACCCUAAGGGGAGAGACAGCACCCUGGCCUUGCUUGGUUGGAGAAAAACCGGCUGGGCAGAUUGGAGAGGAUAGUGGGAGACAACAGCUCCAGGUCACCCCGCUUGUGACCCUCCUGUGUGCGCUCAUCUGAGAGAGUGGUCAGUGGCGGCCAAUCCUUCCAAGCACCCAUGGUGGCUCUGGUACCUCACCCACACGUGCCCACGCCCUGGAGUGUGGCCUCCCACGUGGCUUCAGGAGCUGGCAUCCCACUGAGUUGCCAUGUGAUGUGGGCCUGGUGUUGGAAGAUGUGGUGCCUUUUCAGGGGCAGCCCCAGCUCUGGCCAGAAGAACAGCCCACAGAGGUGACCUCUUGGGGGUGGGGGCCAGGACAGACAGAUGGACAGAUGGACAGGAGGAGGAGGCCCAGAUCUGCCACAUCAAGGAAACUCCUGGGGAACAUGGCACCGUUCAGUUUCCCAGGCCCACUCCAGAUCACUGAGCAGAGCCUCAGUGAAGGGCCAGGUGCCCCUCUAAGUGUGGGAAACACUGCUUUGUGCCACCUUACCCAUCUUCCCUCUACAUCCCUGACCCUGUGGGGAGGGCCCCUCUUCCUCCCAUGACUCUGAUAACAACUCUGCAGCUCAGGGAAAUGAAAUGCUGGGUUUAGAGGCCACAACUGGCAAAAGACAAAAUGAGGAUGUGACCAGGUCUGGCCAAAUUCCAAGUCCAUGUACCGCAGGGCACUGGCUGUGCCCAGGCUGGGAGAGGGGCAUGUGAGCCACGCUUUGUUGGUGACUGUGGAGUCGGCCCAUUCUGGGGGCUGCCUCAGGCAGGAACCCGCGGGGAUGCACUCAGGCCACGGGGGACGGGGAGCUACAGCACACAGAUGAACCCUGCUUUGGUGUCAUCAGCCAGCUAUGUGACCUUGAGCAGGUAAUAACCCUUCCUGAGUCUCGGCCCUCCAUCUGUAAAAUGGGGGCAAUACAUCACACGGUUUUGGGGAGAGGAGCUCAAGCUCAGAGCCCAGCUCACCACCAGCCAUCGGAGGGUCGGCGAGCAGUAGCUGACAUGCUGGGGAGCAGGACGUUCUCUUCUUCAGGACCCUCCUCCUCCACUCUGGCAUCUCUUCCUUGCCUUUUAUUCAUUCCCUUUCCUGAAAUCCCUAGUCCUUCUAACUUCAUCCAAAUCCAAGAUGCCUGGAGUGGAGAACAGGGUGGAAGGGGAGCUGAACGUCUCCCCCGACUUUGCCAGCUCCCCCUUCCUUCUGCCCCUCACCUUGUGGCACCAGGUGGGUCAGACCCAGCUGGAGGGGCAAGGCUGUUUUUAACAGAAACAGGGACCCCUUGAAGAAUUCUGAGAAGAAGCCUUAAAGGGGAAUUCCCUGGCUCUGAUGUCAUUUCAGUAUUUCCUGGGGGAGCUGCACCUGCUCUUUUUCUGACACCUUCUUUAAGAGGCUCAGCCUUCAUCCUUGACGAGGGGAAAGGCAAGGCAAGGGCGACUGCCACAUGUAGUGCACAGCGCAGUCUAAAAUCCUUGCACACAAAGCCAGUGGCACUUUGGCAGAGUUCCAGUGGGCUUGCUGGACGAGAAAAGCCCGGGAACUGCAUUUGCUUCCCUUGGUCAGAGAGCAGCAGCCCACAGGGUGCAUGUUGCUGUGGCUUUCCUCUGUCCUUGGGGAUCUGCUGGUUCUGCCAAACUGGGCCCUGGAGUCAGGGGCCCUGGGGUGAGAUCUCCGCUUUGACCUUGACCCUGAAGGCAGAAUGUCCUGGUAAUGAAGAGCUCCAGGGUCAGCGUCCAAUAGACCUGGGUUCAAACCCCAGCUCUGUCAGUCACUAGCUGAGUGACCUUGGGCAAACCCCUGAACUACUCUGAGCCUCCAAAUACCUUCUUCAUGGGCUUGUAAGGAUGCUUAAAUGAGAUUUUAAAGCUUCUGGUGGGCCGGGUGCGGUGGCUCACACCUGUAAUCCCAGCACUUUGG
rnacentral:lncRNA from 1 species